AGGAGGAGAAGAACGACAAGUGGCACAGGGUGGAGAGGAGCAGUGGCAAGUUUAUGAGGAGGUUCAGGCUGCCGGAGAACGCGAAGAUUGAUCAGGUGAAGGCAUCGAUGGAGAAUGGGGUCCUGACUGUGACUGUGCCGAAAGAGGAGGAGAAGAAGCCUGCUGUCAAGGCCAUUGACAUUUCCGGCUAAGCUCUUGUGGUGUUAAUUUUUGCUUCUGUGUAUUUCCGAGUAUCUGUGUGUGAGAUGAGUGAUCUGAUGUGUCAAUUUUCAUGUAUGGCUUCUUAUUCUAAAUAUUAUUAUAAAUCUUUAUAAAAGCUGAGUCCAUUUUAUUUUUGAAGAAGUGUCUCUUGGAGAAGAUCUAUUUAAUUUUAUACCACGAAUAUGGAGAUCUACUUACUACGAAUAAGAGUCCUAUGGUGGUCGAAAUUCCUAGCUGCUAUUUGUGGUUUGAUUUGUGAACAAGGUUAUAAUUUCAAAUUUUGAAUUGGUGAUUGUUUCUCUUGGUUUUAGUUUGAGUCUUCGAUCAAUUGAUGUUUUUCUUGAACAUGUGAUUGAUUGAAUAUGAAAGUUUUAAUUUUUUUUGUUUAUGUGGCCGAUUCAAUUUAUUUAUUUAGGUAUAUUUUAUGGAAAAAUUAGUUGUCUGGUUGAUAUGGUUACAAUGUAUAUCAGAUUGCAUGGUUAGUUUUAUUUUGUGUUUUUGAGUCUUAACUCGUUGUAGCAUGACGGUUUGAAACAUUCAGGUUAAGCUUGUUCUUCGGUGAAAUUGGAUUCUAGACCUUCCCUACAAAGAUGUUACCGAUUUUCAUCUUUUCUCAAGAAUACAAGAGAAUAUAUGUGGACAAUUCAACCACAAUGAAGACCAUAUAGAUACUUUAUAAUUUUUUUGUUUUUUGUUUUUUUUUUUUGGUAAACUUGAUAUUAUUCCGGGACAAAGCCGAAGUACAAGGCCAACAAAGAUACAAGAAGCACACAAACUUACAAACUAAACAACCAAAGGUCAAGACCAAAGUACAUUGACAAGCAAAAUGGACCAGCCAAACCAAAGCCCAACCAACAGCGUGGCCCAAAACAAAAAAGAUACGGUCGGAUGUGUGUUUGUUAUCUGCAAGAAACACUGCAUUUGCAAAGCUCCCUGUCGCAAAUUAUCAAAUUGCCGGCUCACCAUCCCGGUUAUCGAACUUAAGGCUUGCGGCAUACAUGUGUAGUGUAGGAUUAAAACUGUAAUUAUAUUAGCUUAUGAAAUUAUUCUAUAUAUAAGCCUAAGUCGUCUAUAGACCUAGUGUAGAUUUUACGAAUUGUGAAAUUGUUGAUUUUAAAAACUACCUAGUUUACGUCGCACACAGGUUUAGUAAUUAAUAAGCUAAUUACAUCAUUCGGUUAAAUACGGGAUAUGUUAACUCGUCGGCCGAAUUUGGUCGGAAAGUAAAAUAUGUUGAUGUGACGUUAGGCAUAUUACUGACUUAUUGAUCUUGCGACCGCGGCCGAGAAAGUAACACGUCUCGAUCUUCACGUUCUAGAGUCUAAAAACAAGGUUGCUAGUUCUGCGAAGUUCAAUAUCAAAUUCAACUUUUAGUGUGCCGAAUUUAGUAACAUGAUAACACCUCACUUCGCCUAAAAAACUGAAAAUAUAACCUCUUCCAACAAGAAGUAAAAAAUUAUUGUCAACCAAAAUUUGGAUAAAUAACUAGUCGGUUUGAAAGUAAUGAUGUUUAUUUAAACAAAAGGUGUUCCUCGUAUUGGGGACAUCAAAGAGACACAAAGAAAAAAUCAUAUUGGGGACAUCAAACCUUCAGUCCUCUCUCACCUACUUGUAAAAUUAGUUUCACAACAUAAUUUAGUAUUUUUUUUUCCUUAAAUACGGUUUUUUUUUUUUUUGAGAAAAAAAUCUAUAUCCAAUUUAACUGAUACUUAAUUUAAUUAAUUUUAUAAUUACCAAUUUGGAUAAAAUAAAAUAAAAUUAAUUAUAAAAAAAAUAAAUCAAUCAAUCAAAAAAGGUUUGUAAGUGCCAACUAUGUUUUGGGCCGAAAGGUACUGUUUGGUACGUAGACGGGAUGGAACGGGACGGAACAGGACAGAACAGAUGAUAUAAAUAUUGAAAAAAAUAAGAAGAAAUUUUGUCAUAAAAUGUUAUAAAUUUGUGUUCCCCGAAUGUGGAACGGGUCGUUCUAGGAGGAAGAGGUGGAACGAAAAUCAACCAAAUUUCAUCCCAUGGACAACCCGUUUCACAAUUUUUAAGCGCAUCAAAUGUGGGACGGUUCGUCCCACGUACCAAAUGGUACCAAAAAGUAACUAAAGGCACUUUCGAGAAGUUGGUGGAAGCUGAUGGAACUCUCUGUUUUUAUUGUUUUUUUCCCUUCUGGAUAGCUGCAGAACUUUCUGUAGUUCUCGGAGAAACCUUCUGUGCCAUCCUAUAUAUAUACAACUCACUCCACAACCCUCCUCAUCAGAUAGAAUUAUCCAAAGCAAUCUAAGCAAAAAUCUCUUGCUCAAAUCCUUCGAAUUCACACCCAGCAAAAACCCAACUCAAACCCACCAUCUAAUGGCUCUCAGUCUCUUUGGCGGACGACGAAGCAACGUCUUCGACCCCUUCUCUCUGGACAUCUGGGACCCUUUCGAGGGCUUCGGCGAUCUGGCCAACAUCCCCUCCUCCGCCCGUGAAACCACCGCCAUCGCCAACACGCGCAUCGACUGGAAGGAGACCCCGAAGGCCCACAUCUUCAAGGUGGACCUCCCGGGGAUAAAAAAAGGAGGAGGUGAAAGUGGAGGUGGAGGACGGGAGGGUCCUGCAGAUCAGCGGCGAGAGGAGCCGGGAGCAGGAGGAGAAGAACGACAAGUGGCACAGGGUGGAGAGGAGCAGUGGCAAGUUUAUGAGGAGGUUCAGGCUGCCGGAGAACGCGAAGAUUGAUCAGGUGAAGGCGGCGAUGGAGAGUGGGGUGCUGACUGUGACUGUGCCGAAAGAGGAGGAGAAGAACCCUGAGGUCAAGGCCAUUGACAUCUCCGGCUAAACUAAAUUCGCAUAACCUCGAUCGGCUACUUUUGAGCUCUGUUUUGGUGUGGUGUUAAGUUCUGCUUGUGUGUAUUUCCGAGUCUCUGUAUGUGAGAUGAGUGAUAUGGUGUGUCAAUUGUCAUGUAUGGGUUCUUCUUCUAAAUAUUAUAAUAAAUCUUUAUAAAAGUUUACAUUAUAUUUCCAAGAAGUGUGUCUGGGAGAAGGUCUAUUUAAUUUGUUUUCCACGAAUAUGAAGAAGAUGACUGUUCACGGCGCGAUUAUCUUGCUCUUAAAGUCUAGAACUUUAACACUUGCGCAUAGAAUUGAUAAAGAUUCUUUCGAUCUUCACACCUGCUAUUGCUAUUAGGAACCAGCUGCUGAGCUGUGACCUACGAAGAUUGCAGAGGAGUAUCAGGCAAAGAAGAAAGUUCGAGAUGUAAAUUUUGUAUGGGAGAAGUACUGCUCAAGUCGACAGUCCAGCAAAGGCGACAUUGAAGACAUCUUACUUACUCCAAGAGCAUAUGGCGAAUGCUCGAAGUUGCUUGAUUAGGACAGGGUCCUAUAGUGGUCGAAAUUCCUAGCUGCUGUUUUUGGUUUAUUUUCAAGGUUAUAUUUUCAACUGUUUUUGGUUUAACUCGUGAUUCGUGAACAAGGUUAUAUUUUCAAAUUUUAAAUUGGUGAUUGUUUCUUUGUUUCUUUUGGUUUUUAGUUUGGAUAUUAAAAGUUUUGUACCGUUUUAAUAUAUGACGUGGAUUGUCUGCCCUUCCACUCUCGUGCCUUCCUGUGCCUUCUUGUUUGUGUGAUCACGGUAGUUAAACCACGUUAACAUUUUAUAUUACUAUUUAUUUUUGUCUUAUUAUUUCUAUAAAAAAAAUAUAAAAUGUUGACGUGUAUGCGCAUACACGUAGACAUUAGACAUGUGUCCAAGUCAUCUUGCAAUUACUUUAUAGGUACAGCGAAAUGAUGAUCGAACCCUAAAUUCUAAACCCUAAAUCCUAGGGAAAAGUAAUUGAUGACAAAAAUACUGAGAAAUAAAAUUGGACUUCCUUCAACUUUCAACCUUCCCUAAGUAGAUAUUGAUAAAGCAGCUUUUUCAACCUUGUAUCGGUCGUAUUCUUGAAUUUGGAAGGAAAAGAGGAGUAAUGCUUCCUAGCAUGGGACAUAGAAUAAGACCUAGAAUAAAACCACUUAGAUUAGAAUAGCAUUCACAUAAAUGUUCUAAAAUAGAGUUAAAUCGAACAUUGAAGAGAUUAGUUGGUCGUUAUUGGGAUGGGUUCAAACAGGAUUGCAAUAAAUAAUAAAAAAUAAAAAAUAAUGAAGGAGCGGAACCUUCAUUUGACUCAAGCCAACCCCAGGUCGGGACGAGACUUUCUUUGUGCUACAAAUUAGUGAAAUUCUAUCUCUUUCGUUACACAACUAAAAAAUGGGCAACAACUCUUGAGUCAAAAGCCUUCUAAGUUAUGCUGAUGAUGAUUAUUUAAACCGUACAAAGCGCGUUUCUAGAACUGUUUAUGUCUUUAUCAUUAGAGAUAUUGCAAUAUUGUGCAUAUCAACCAAACAGGACUUAGUUGCUACGUCUUUCAAUCACACUGAGAUUUUAGCCUGUGCAAAGUAUCGCAUGAAUGAUUUUGGCUAAGGCGCGUGAUUGAUCACAUUAAAACUUUAUGUGAUUUUUCUUACAUCGUUGAUGUUCCAACAACGAUUUAUGAAGACAAUGAUGCGUGUAUCGACUGGUCAUACGCUUGUGUGUUUUAAUAACCACUCUGAAUAUGUGAAAUAUCGAUAUCUUGUAUUAACUCAAUUUUUCUCUGUAAGUCUACUAGUUAUCCCAUAGCAAGGUUUUUAACCGAUAGCUGACAACAACAACCACAUCACCUAAUCACGAAGAAAUGAUGCAGCUACUUCUUAAGUUGUACACACUUAAGUAGGAGUGUUGUGAAUAGAAUCAUUAAUUAGAAAUGUGAUUGUGUAAACUUAAAGUAGAAUUCCACAAGGAUUUGGAGAUCAAAUAAUUAUAGGCUUUGUAUUACUUAUAAGGCAAGAAAACUCAUCAUAAUUAGUGAAGAAAACCCAUCAUAAUUAGUAUUAAAAAGUCACGUGCUAAGGGUGAAUACGCCAUUCUUAUACACAUGAGCCCUUCUUUCAUGUCGUCUCAUUCCUCUCUCACGGUCGCAGGUCUGUUGUCCCUAAUUAUGGUGUCUCCUCUCUAAUUUCUCAACACGUGUACCACCCAUUUCGCCUAAUCUUCACCCCAUUAAAUUUUUAAUAAAACUAAAACCCAAAAACAAAGAAACUAGCAGUGACUAUGUCCUCAUCCACCCCAAUCCAUGCAGUCCCGUGCGCCAGCAACCUAAGCAUUCACCCAUGCUAGCCUCCCCAUGCGCCAGCGGCUACCCUUACUUGUACUUGCCAUCACCAAAAUCCUCUUCCAUCCAAAGGCGGAUUUAUUAAGGGACCUAGGUGGUUUCAGGACCACCCGAAUACUCGGAUAAUUGAAAACUUCCGAGGACCACCCAAGUUUGGGCAGUGAAGGGAAAGAGCAACGAACUGCAUAAUGUUCUAGCUUUUUGCAAACUAGAUGGAAAGAAGAAGAACAAGAAGAAGACCAAUUCUUUUUUAAACGGUAUCCUAGGUCACGUGCUACAAAGUCACAUUAAUCAUUCAAGUAAAGAGUAAUGCUAGGGGGACUAAAUUUGUAAAAAAUAUUUGCAAACUAAAUGAUGUGUCACCAAUAGGAAAUGAGCAUGUUUAUCAAUACUUAAGUAAUAAUCCAAUCAUUAACUUUCAUGUCAUUUAGUUUAUAAAUUUUGUCUAAAAAUUUAGUUUUUCUAGCAUUACUCUUAAAUAAAACGGUGAGCACUGAUGUGGUGUUUGAAAACUCAUUCUAGGUCACGUGGGAGGUUGAGAGCCUCACCAUUUUUUUAAUAAAAAAUAAUAAAAAGAGUUCGACUUUCAAAGAAAGUCCACCCCAAGCAAUAUAGUUCCCUAAUCCCCGGAUUUGGAUCCCAUCCAAAUCUAAAUUGUGAGGAUUCUAGGGAUCCGCACAUCUUAGUCAUUCAUCGUGCAUCGUGUAGUAAAAAAUCAUCUGACUUUUUUUAUUUAAAAUUAAACACAAUUAGUACCUAACGAAAACUGGCCGCACGAUGUACGAUAAACAACUAGGAUGUAGGGAUCCCUAUGAUCCCCACAAAGUGGAUCCGGAGAUGAUCCUUUUCCCUAAUCCCCAAUUCCUACCCCGCUCAACUAAAGGUCACCAUCAUCAGCACAGAACCAAUCUCUAGUCUUCACACACCAAUCGGCACUUCAAGAUCAACUUGGUAUUUAAAUUCAUUCUAUGCGUUGAAGAAAUGACUUUUCUCAAUUGUAAGGGAUUAGUAAUCUUGCUAAAAAAUGAUGAAAAAAGGGUUACAUGAAUUGUUGUUUGUACAAAAAUUAUGAAUAAAAAGUCGUAAUUUAUCGUUUAAUGUUUCAAUUUUACUUUCAUCUAAUUUUUUGGAGCUUUUUGUGAAACUUUAUAGGCCUAAGCAUGAUCUAUCACCGAUAUGAUCCCAACUUAACCACGUAUGGCUUAGUGUUUGGUUUUAUCCCAAAAUGACUGGUAAUAUUAAGGGUGAAAACUCUUAUAUAUUAAUAGUGUUGCAGUCCUAUUAGAUUAGGAAUUUGAUUGUGUAAAUCCUAACAUAUAUAUGAUAUUCUUAUGUGAUUCUACCAUAUCUCUUAGACUAUAUAUUAUCUUUUUAGAGUUGUAAUCCUAUUGGGGUAAGGAAUUUACCUUCACUACUACUAUAAAUAAAGGCACUAUGGGAUGAUAUAACACACACCUUACAAUUAGACAUCUAUCUCUUCUCUCUCUAUGUGCCGCACCCCCUCUCUCUCUCUGGCAUUCAUAAUUGUUCAAUAAAUUAUUCCUACAAUACAUUAUUAGCACGCUCUUAACGCUACGCUAAAGAGAGUUUAUUCUUCAUUCAGGGGAGUAUUAUGUUUUAAUCAUUCUUUUUAUGAUUAAUUUAUUAUUUUAUUGAAUUGACCUACAUGCUAUUGAUUCAAUUUAAUUUCUUAUUUGUUGAACGUGAUACAACACAUUGGAUAUGCAAUUCCGGAUUUCCGAGAAGCAUGUUCUACAAAUUUAAAGGCUUUUGUUGUUUUAUGCCAAUCAGGUAUAUUUAAAAUAAAUGAAGAUAUUUGAAACGACCAUGAAGCGUGAAAACAUUCCUCAUGAUACAUGAACCACUUAAAAUUAUAUUUACCUUUCGAUAUAUAUAUACGUUUCAUGCAUUAUGCAAUUUUUGUUAUUUGAAAUUUGUGAGUCAAAAAAUUGAAAUAAAUUAGAAGCAAGGGUUUUUUAAACCCUUCAAUGGCGGACGAGGUGGUGUUGUUGGAUUUCUGGCCAAGCCCAUUUGGGAUGAGGCUGAGGAUUGCUCUGGCAGAAAAGGGCAUCGAGUAUGAGUACAAAGAUGAGGACUUGUGGAACAAGAGCCCAUUGGUGCUGCAGGUGAACCCGAUUCACAAGAAGAUCCCGGUUCUCAUUCACAAUGGAAAACCAGCCUAUGAUUCCCUCAUUGCGCUUCAGUACAUUGAUGAGGUUUGGAAUGAUAAGCCUCCACUCUUGCCCUUUGACUCUUACCUCACAGCCCAGGCCAGGUUCUGGGCUGACUUUGUCAACAAGAAGGUGAUUUUUACUCAUUAAUUUACUUAUUUUUUUGGGUAAAAGACUGUUUACCACCCUCUUAUUUCGUGGUUUUCAACAUUUAGUACAUCAAGUUUUUUUCGUCUCAGAGUAAUACCUAAAGUGUAAAUUUUGGGACAGUCUCAUACAUCUGUUAGUCAAACUGUUAGUUCUCCCGUUAAGUGAUGACGUGGCGCUCUGAUUGGACGCCACGUGUCAUUAAAAAAAUAAAAAAUUUAUUUAAAUAAAAAUAAUAUUAAAUAAUAUUAAAAUAAAUAUUAAAAUAUUAAAAUAAUAAUAAUAAUUUUUUUUUUCUUCUUCUCUUCUUCUUUUUUUUUUUUUUUUUCUUCUUCUUCUUCUCUUCUUCUUCUGGUUCGGUUCUUUUUUUUUUUUUUUUUUUUUUUCAUUCUUCCUCCUCCUCCUCCUACUUCUUCCUUCUCCUUCCUCCUCCUUCUUCUUCUCCUUCUUCUUCUUCUUCUGGGUUCGGUUUCUCUCUUUUUUUUUCUCUUUUUUUUCUUCUUCUUCUUCUUCCUCCUCUUUCUCCUUCUUCUUCCUUCUCUUUCCUCCUCCUUCUUCUUCUCCUUCUUCUUCUUCUGGGUUCGGUUUCUCUUCUUUUUUUUUUUUUUUUUUAUCCUUCUUCCUCCUCCUUCUUCUUCCUUCUCCUUCCUCCUCAUUCUUCUUCUCCUUCUUCUUCCUUCUUCUUCCUCUUCUUUUCUGGGUUCGGUUUUUUUUUUUUUUUUUUUCUGUUUUUUUCCUUCUCCUCCUUCCUUCUUAAGAAGGAAGAAGAAGGAGAAGAAGAAUGAGGAGGAAGGAGAAGGAAGAAGAAGAAGGAGGAGGAAGGAGAAGGAAGAAGAAGGAGAAGGAGGAGGAAGAAAAAAAAAAAAAAAAAAAAAAAAAGAGAGAACCGAACCCAGAAGAAGAAGAAGAAGAAAAAAAAAAGAAGAAGAAGAGAAGAAGGAAAAAAAAAAUAUUUUAUUAUUUAAAUAUUUAUUUAAUAUUAUUUUUAUUUAAAUAAAUUUUUUAUUUUUUUAAUGACACGUGGCAUCCAAUCGGGGCGCCACGUCAUCACUUAACGGGAGAACUAACAGUUUGACUAACAGAUGUAUGAGACUGUCCCAAAAUUUACACUUUAGGUAUGACUCUGGGACGAAAAAAACUUGAUGUACUAAAUGUUGAAAACCACGAAACAUGAGGGUGGUAAACAGUCUUUUACCCUAUUUUUUUUGUUGUUUUUUUUAACAAGUGAUAUUAUCUACACUAAAAAGAAGGGGAUAGGUUUAGCCUCACAAUGAGUUAGUAAUAAUUUGGUUCAAAUUCGCCCUUUGCAAGAAUCGAAUCUAAGACUUCUCACUUACAAGUGAAUAAGAAUAUUAUUAGACCAUAGUACAAAGUGGCAAUUUCACAACAUAAUUAAGUUUAGUAUUUUUUUUUCCUUAAAUAUGCUUUUUUUUAUUUUAUUUUAAAAAAAAUCUAUGUUCAAUUUAACAUGAUACUUAAUUUUGUAAGUACCAAUUUGGAAAAAAAAAAUAUUAAAAAAAGGGGUUUUUAAGUACCCACUAUGUUUUGGCUGAAAAGGAACUAACCCAAAAAAAGCUCCAGAUCUGCUGUCUCUUAAAAUGUAUCUAAUAUGAGUCUCCUUGUUAAUAUGUUGACAUGUAUUCUUUAACUUGACUUAAAACUUAACUUUGUUAAUUUUAUUUAUUUAACAUUUAAAUUAAAAAAAAACUAAAAUAAUAAAAAACUGUUGGGUUAACGAGAUGAGCAAAUCCAAAUAGGAUUCUUCACCUUCUUUUUUGGUUUGCUGCAACAAUCGCAAGGAUCAGAAAGAACAAGGCGAGUUUGCUGUGCAUUUUUCUCCUUUGAAACAAUCGUAGUUCCAAAUCUAGCAUCCACACCAACAAACUCACUUGCCUCAACUCCAUCAAUCCAAGUUCGAACUUUUACCAAAACGAAAUUGUUCUCGCUCCCAGGCUUCUUCGAAGCAGAAUCAUCAUCAUGCACUAUAUCCCCGGCAGUGAUAGAGCUCGGAUUACCGACUAGUAGAAUAGUCAAAGCUGAAACAAAAACCAACCCACAAAGCCCCUUUCUUUCUCUCUCUUCCUUCCAUGGCUACAAUCUCUACAAAUCUGUGAUGCAGAGGAGGAAGAACCAAAAGGGUUGUUCUUUCUGAUCCUCGCGAUUGUCGCAGCAAACCAAAAAAGAAGGUGAAGAAUCCUAUUUAGAUUUGCUCACCUCGUUAACCCAACAUUUUUUCAUUAUUUUGGAUUUUUUUAAAUUUAAAUGUUAAGUAAAUAAAGUUAAUAGAAUUAAGUUUUAAGUUAAAGAACAUACGUCAGCAUAUUAAUAAAGAGAUAAAUAAGACACAUUUUAAAUGACAGCAGAACUGGAGCCCCCCAAAAAAGGCACUUUCGAGAAGUUGGUGGAAGCUGAUGGAACUCUCUGUUUUUAUUGUAUUUUUCCCUUCUGGAUUGCUGCAGAACUUUCUGUAGUUCUCAGAGAAACCUUCUGUGCCAUCCUAUAUAUAUACAACUCACUCCCCAACCCUCCUCAUCAGAUAGAAUUAUCCAAAGCAAUCUAAGCAAAAAUCUCUCGCCCAAAUCCUACGAAUUCACACCCAGCAAAAACCCAACUCAAACCCACCAUCUAAUGGCUCUCAGUCUCUUUGGCGGACGACGAAGCAACGUCUUCGACCCCUUCUCUCUGGACAUCUGGGACCCUUUCGAGGGCUUCGGCGCUCUGGCCAACAUCCCCUCAUCCGCCCGUGAAACCACCGCCAUCGCCAACACGCGCAUCGACUGGAAGGAGACCCCGGAGGCCCACAUCUUCAAGGCGGAUCUCCCGGGGAUAAAAAAGGAGGAGGUGAAAGUGGAGGUGGAGGACGGGAGAGUCCUGCAAAUCAGCGGCGAGAGGAGCCGGGAGCAGGAGGAGAAGAACGACAAGUGGCACAGGGUGGAGAGGAGCAGCGGCAGGUUUAUGAGGAGGUUCAGGCUGCCGGAGAACGCGAAACUUGAUCAGGUGAAGGCGGCGAUUGAGAAUGGGGUGCUGACUGUGACUGUGCCGAAAGAGGAGGAGAAGAAGCCUGAGGUCAAGGCCAUUGACAUUUCCGGUUAAACUAAAUUCGCGUAACCUCGAUCGGCUACUUUUGAGCUCUGUUUUGGUGUGGUGUUAAGUUCUGCUUGUGUGUAUUUCCGAGUCUCUCUGUAUGUGAGAUGAGUGAUAUGGCGUGUCAAUUGUCAUGUAUGGGUUCUUAUUCUAAAUAUUAUAAUAAAUCUUUAUAAAAGUUUACAUUAUAUUUCCAAGAAGUGUGUCUGGGAGAAGGUCUAUUUAAUUUGUUUUCCACGAAUAUGAAGAAGAUGACCGUUCAUGGCGCGAUUCUCUUGCUCUUAAAGUCUAGAACUUUAACACCUGCGCAUGGAAUUGACAAAGAUUCUUUCGAUCUUCACAUGUGCUACUGCUAUUGGGAACCAGCUGCUGAGCUCGUGCGUCCUACGAAGGUUGCAGAGGUGUAUCAGGCAAAGAAGAAAGUUAGAGAUACAAAUUUUGUAUGGGAGAAGUAAUGCUCAAGUCGACAGUCCAGCAAAGGCGACAUUGAAGACAUCUUACUUACUCCAAGAGCAUAUGGCGAAUGCUCGAAGUUGCUUAAUUAGGACAUGGUUCUACAGUGGUCGAAAUUCCUAGCUGCUGUUUUUGGUUUAUUUUCAAGGUUAUAUUUUCAAGAGAACUUUAACGAAAAACUUCCAGUACUGUUUACUUUAACGAAAAAUCAUAUUUUUACACUAAAAAAUUAAUCAUGCUAUUAUUCAUUUUACCUUUUAUUUUAUCCUUACUGUUAAAACUCAAAAUUUUUAAGUCAUUUUUAUUAGUUUUUCUUAUUUUCAACUGUUUUUGGUUUGACUCGUGAACAAGGUUGUGUUUGCAAUUUUAAACCGGUGAUUGUUUCUUUUGUUUCUUUUGGUUUUUAGUUUGGAUAUUAAAAGUGUUGUACCGUUUUAAUAUAAAACAAAGCUUUUGAGUACUUCCAUGGUCAUCUUAACCCUGGAUGCAAAACGAGAUUGAUUCAAUCCUAAACGAGAUCAAUUAUUUAAGUGAAAUCAACCGCUGUAUUUUACUUGUAGACUAGAGCUGACAUAUCUUUUGUUGUGAAUUUUAGCAAGGUACAACAAUGCGCCUACACGUAGACACUAGACAUAUGUCCAAGUCAUCCUGCAAUUACUUUAUAGGUAUAGUGAAAUGAUGAUCAAACCCUAAAUUCUAAACCCUAAACCCUAGGGAAAAGUAAUUGAUGACAAAAAUACUGAGAAAUAAAAUUUGACUUCCUUCAGCUUUCGACCUUCCCUAGGUAGAUAUCCAUAUAGUAGCUUUUUCAACUUUGUAUCGGUCGUAUUCUUGAAUUUGGAAGGAAAAGAGGAGUAAUGCUUCCUAGCAUGGGACAUAGAAUAAGACCUAGAAUAAGGCCACUUAGAUUAGAAUAGCAUUCACAGAAAUGUUCUAACAUAGAGUUAAAUCGAACAUUGAAGAGAUUAGUUGGUCGUUAUUGGGACGGGUUCAAACAGGACUGCAAUCAAUAAUAAAAAAAAUAAAAAAUAAAAGAAUGAAGGAGCGGAACCUUCCUUUGACUCAAGCCAACCCCAGGUCAGGACGAGACUUUCUUUGUGCUACCAAUUAGUGAAAUUCUAUCUCUUUCUUACACAACUAAAAAAUGGGCAACAACUCUUGAAUCAAAAGCCUUCUAAGUUAUGCUGAUGAUGGUUAUUUAAACCGUACAAAGCGCGUUUCUAGAACGAUUUAUGUCUUUAAAUUCAUUCUAUGCGUUGAAGAAAUGACUUUUCUCAAUUGUAAGGGAUUAGUAAUCUUGCUAAAAAUGAUGAAAAAAGGAUUACAUGAAUUGUUGUUUGUACAAAAAUUAUUAAUAAAAGUUGUAGUUUAUCGUUUAAUGUUUCAAUUUUAUUUUCAUCUAAUUUUUUGGAGCUUUUUGUGAAACUUUAUAGGCCUAAGCAUGAUCUAUCACCGAUAUGAUCCCAACUUAACCACGUAUGGCUUAGUGUUGGGUUUUAUCCCAAAAUGACUGGUAAUAUUAGGGGUGAAAACUCUUAUUUAUUAAUAGUGUUGCAGUCCUAUUAGAUUAAGAAUUUGAUUGUGUAAAUCCUAACUUAUAUAUGAUAUCCUUAUGUGAUUCUACCAUAUAUUUUAGACUAUAUAUUAUCCUUUUACAGUUGUAAUUCUAUUGGGGUAAGGAAUUUACCUUCACUACUACUAUAAAUAAAGGCACUAUGGGAUGAUAUAACACACACCUCACAAUUACACAUCUAUCUCUUCUCUCUCUAUGUGAUGCACCCCCUCUCUCUGGCAUUCAUAAGUGUUCAGUAAAUUAUGCCUACAAUACAUUAUCAGCACGCUCUUGAUGCUACGCUAAAGAGAGUUUAUUCUUCAUUCAGUGAAGUAUUACGUUUUAAUCAUUCUUUUUAUGAUUAAUUUAUUAUUUUAUUGAAUUGACCUACAUGCUAUUUGUUGAUGCACAAAACCGGAGGGGUCUUGGAACAACGUAAAUCUGACCGUGAAUCUGCAAGAAAUUAAAUAACACAAGAUGUAUCGUGGUUCAUCCCAAUGUUCGGGCUACGUCCACACUGAUAUUGUAUUUCUCUGUUUGUGAGAGGAUUGUGAGGGUGAGAGCCUCUGUAAUGUGAGAGUGAUGCUUCUCUUUAGGGAUCUGAGACCCUUCCGUUUGUGAGGGUGAGGAUACCCCUUUUAUAGACUAAGAGCUCCUCACUUAUUACAUAUUUCCCCCUUCAUUUAUUACAUAAUUACAUUUGAGUCCCCCGAGUAUUUAUACGAGGUCUAAAUACGGAGGCCCUAAGUAUGGUACAAACAGUAGUCCCCCAAGUCUUCAGUCAAGAGAGUCUUUUGGCUAGAGACUUGAAAUUCAGUCCAUGUGUAGGCCGAAGUAACUAGAUGUCGUCUAGGACUGAUACUCGAUAUGAAGCGGUGCUCAAUCUGAAAUAAUGUUCAACUAGAAGUAGCACAUGUUGCAAGGCUGCUCGGUUUGUGGCUUAUGUUGCCUUGGUUGGCUCGGCUUGUGGCGUUGAAGGUGAGGGAGUCCCUUUUAUAAAAUAAGGGCUCGCUCCUCAAUACAUAAGUGAUGGGCUAGAGUUUAUGCUCGCGGCGAGACGGUUGCUCAGCUGGCGACGAUGCUCUCUAAUGAUGGUGAGGGAGUCCCUUUUAUAGAAUAAGGGAUCGCUCCUCAAUACAUAAGUGAUGGGCUAGAGUUGAUGCUCACGGCGAGACGGUUGCUCAGCUGGCGACGCUGCUCUCUAAUGAUGGUGAGGGAGUCCCUUUUAUAGAAUAAGGGAUCGAUCCUUAAUACAUAAAUGAUGGGUUAGGAGUGAUGCUCGCGGCGAGGUGGUUGCUCAGCUGGCGGCGAUGCUCUCUAAUGAAGGUGAGGGAGUCCCUUUUAUAAAAUAAGGGAUCGCUCCUCAGUACAUGAAUAAUGGAUGCUUUCUAAUGAAAGUGAAUGAGUCACUUUUAUAGAAUAACGACUCGCUCCUCAAUACAUAAAUAAUGGGUUAGAGUCCCCCAAGUAUUUUUCAUGAGGCCCAGUUGAGGCCCAAUAUAUGGUACAUAAUGUAGUUCCCCAAGUCUUCAGUCAAUAGGGUCUGUUGGCUGGAGACUUCAAAUUGAAUCCAUGUAUGGGCCGAAGUGGUGGUUGUUCGGAGACGGUAUUUGUAUAUCCUUGUCACACCCCGGACCCGGGGUAGGUGGAAAAUUCGAUCCCAAGUCUGAAACGCGAACUAAAAACUAAAUAAAUAAAAUAAAACGGAAACGGGUUGGAAAAUAAAAUUCUUCUUAUUUAAAAUAACUCAAUAAUUCUUUACAAGGCUAAAUAAAUAAAUACAAAUUCUAGCCUCACAUCUAUCUCGUUUCAUCCCGUCUACCAUUUUGACAGUUUAGUUAGUAAACCUGCAUAACAAUAGAGGGGUGAGCUUCAACAGCUCAGUAGGAACAUAACCUUACCACAGUAAAAUUGACAAUACUAAAUUACGUGUUAUAAAAUCAUGUAAUCAAGUACCAAAUCAUUCUCGAUAACAAUGCAUGAAUGCAAUGCAAAACUCUUCAUCUUUGCCCGUUAAUUCAUAUAAUAAAACACGCGGACCUGCACGUCCCAUACCGUGCAUUUUACCUCUGCAGUGGUGGUUCGAAUGUUUUAAUAUACAAAUUAACCCCAUGUAACUCAAUCAUCCCAAUUUCCCAAACUCUUCGUCGCCAGUCCCGAAUUACCCUUAAAGAAUUUAUGCAUUGUGGGCUCGCCUGAGACCUGGUACCUGCUAAGAGUUUGGCUCAACUACACAAAAGAUAUUUCCAACUACCCUCAUUUCCAGAAUUCCUUCCUCAACACCAAACUUCCAACUAUUCUCACACAUAAGUGAUGCACAAAUAAUCUCAUUUCAUCAUUCACAUGUACCAGAACAUAUUCUCAGCGAAUAUAACUUCACCAAUAAUUUCGUAUCCAAUAACGAGUAAACACACAAGAGCAGUAUUUGUCCAAUUAGUAAACCAUAUCACAUUAAUCAACCAACAAGAUCGAUAAUAAUAUAAUGUUUCACGAAAUUUAAUAAAGCCAAUCUCCGUAAAGGUCUGCCGUAUUUCCCUUACCUAGAGUCCAAAGCAAGCAAACAAUGUCCCUUACCAACACCUCGAUUAAACACAACCAUCGUGGUAACUGGAGUCCCUGAUCCAACAAAUAAACUAUAUCACUGUAUAAUCCCUAUAUCUAACACCCAAUAUAAACUCCUUUAUUUUAGAAUUCCAAUAUUAGGCUUAACAUCACCUUAUCUUAGUUGGACCCUUAAAACAUUUUUCUUUCUUAUUUGGGUCCUAAAAAAUUUCUCAAUUAUAUACAUGCUACCAAGAAGCAUUUGCCCACAAAACAAUUCUAAAAUCACAGUUUUGUCCCAAGCCUUCGGGUAAUAACAAAACUACCCUUAACUUUCAGAGAACUGUAAAAUGGCCCCAAAUCUGAACUUCUAUUUCAGUUUGGUCCCUGUAGGGUGAAUAGUGAUAUUCAUGGCUAUUUUCCAGAUUGGUUCCUCUUGUCUUUCAAUCCAAAACAUGUCUAAACCCAUUUAUCAUGAUCUCUAAGUACCAAAUCACCAUUCAAGUUCACCAAGUUCCCUUAAUUUCGUAACAGCCACAAAAUAUCAAGGUUUAAAAACCAUGAAAUAAUUCUAGGGUUUGCAGCAGCUAGCCCAUAAAGAAUAUAACCUCAAUUCGUUCAGUUAUGCUUCCAAUAAGCUUAAUCCACCAUAAACAACAUUUAAAUUUAAAGAUUAAAGUUUGUGUAGGAAUAAAUCCCAAAAAUGGCAGCUUUCAAAAUCUGCAGUAAAUCCAUAAAUUAUUACUUGAGAUUUGUAAUACUCUUCCCCACGAAAGUGGAAUCAAAUUCGAACUUCCAAAUCAAAAGUUAAGAGAAAAUUGGUGUUUGGUUGAGACAAGGAGAUGAAGCUCAUUGCUUCCUCUUUGCAUCUUUCCGUGAAGAGAAGAAGAAAGACCAUUAGGUCUUUCGAUCCAAUAUAUAGGUGCACUUGCACCGCUUUCUUCAUUUGUGAUCCAAUGUCCACUUGCCACGUUUCAACGUAAUUCUAUCUUCUUCUUAAGGUCCAACUAAAACCUGCCAAGUGGUAGACUUGGCACUUAUUUGAGAACCCGGAUCAUAUCCUUUUGCUGUCACCUUCAGGAGCUGUCAUGUGGUGAUUCGCCAUUGGUCCAGCUUGUAAAUUCAAUUAAAACCUACACUCCGAAAAAUCAUCUAAAAGAUUAUACAAAAUCGCAAUGACGUUCACUACCUUCAUAUGAAAACCUUUUGAAUAAAUAAGCACAACAUAUUUUUUCCAAAUAUUUUUCUUAUUCAAUAAUAAAUUCUUGGGAUAUUACAAUCUUGCACUAAAGCUUUGUAGGUGAAGCUUUGCAAGUGAAGCUUUGAAGCUAGAGCUCUGUAAAUGAAGCUUUCGAAGUUGGAGCUUUUGUAAAUGAAGCUUUUGAAGCUAGAGCUUUGUAAAUGAAGCUUUCGAAGCUGGAGCUCUAUAAAUGAAGCUUUCGAAGCUAGAACUCUAUAAAUGAAGCUUUCGAAGCUAGAGCUUUGUAAAUGAAGCUUUUGAAGCUAGAGCUUUGUAAAUGAAGCUUUCGAAGCUGGAGCUCUAUAAAUGAAGCUUUCGAAGCUAGAGCUUUGUAAAUGAAGCUUUCGAAGCUAGAGCUUUGUAAAUGAAGCUUUUGAAGCUAGAGCUUUGUAAAUAAAGCUUUUGAAGCUAGAGCUUUUGUAAAUGAAGCUUUUAAAGCUAGAGCUCUGUAAAUGAAGCUUUUGAAGCUAGAACUUUUGUAAAUGAAGCUUUUGAAGCUAGAACUCUGUAAAUGAAGCUUUCGAAGCUAAAUUGACAUGAGUGAUGCUCAUGAAUGUUUAUGUUGAUUGACAUGAGUGAUGCUUAUGAAUGUUAACAUGAGUGAUGCUUAUGAAUGUUGACAUGAAUGAUGGUCAUGAAUAUUUAUGUAUGAUUGACAUGAGUGAUGUUCAUGAAUGUUUAUGUAUGAUUGACAUAAGUGGUGCUCAUGAAUGUUUAUGUAUGAUUGAUAUGAGUGAUGCUCAUGUAUAAUUUUGGAGUACUGGACAUACUUUUGAUCACCUGGUUGGUGAUAAUAGCGGCAGGCUGCCGAAUAAUUUUGGGAGUACUGGACGUACUUUUGAUCACCUGGUUGGUGAUAAUAACGGCAAGGUGUCGAAUAAUUUUGGAAGUACUGGGCGUACUUUUGAUCACCUGGUUGGUGAUAAUAGCGGCAGGGUGCCGAAUAAAUUUGGAGCCAUAAGGCUUGGCUCUUUUGGGCAUAUGGCCCUUCGCCAUCCACAUGACAUUGCAGCCCAUUAUUUUAGGCUUGCCUUUUUUUUAUAUUUUAUUUUAUUUUUAUGAUUACCCUCUGAUGGGGUUAUACAGAUGUCUUUGAAAGAUAAGAAAAAUAAAUUACAUCAUUCAAAAAUAAAUCUGACCCUCUGCUCAAUGGGUCACGCCCAUAAUUCUCUUUUCUGCAUGUCAUCACCACAACAAUUAUGUCUGCUUUUUUUUUUUUUUAUCUUAUUUUGCUUUGCUGCUUUUGUUUUUCCCACUUCAUUUCCUGCAACUUUCAAAACGUCAAGGUUGGCAGAGCCCAUCUGCAGACUUGCUUUUGCUUUUUCUUUUCACUUUUAUGGGAGUGGUUGAGCUGUCUGAGGGCCUUUCUUUUUCUUUUGUUGGAUAAGUGCGACAAAGCAUCAAUAUGCUAGCACAUGUGAAUAUCUGGUAAAGCUAAGUCUUUUGUUGGGAAAAGUUAUUCCUUUUGUCUAAGUGGGUUGUUGAAGAUAACCCAUCAUUGCAGCUCCACCACAAGUUUGCAUCUUAGCUUCCAUGCUCGCCGACAGUACCGUAUGGACUGGAUUCCAAUGUUCAGUUGCAAACUCGCAGCCAUUUGGACCGUCACCAGGAAGCCUUGAAUUGAAACACACAUUGUUUUACUGAAAACAGCAACUUUCUCUUCCUCUCCUCAGAAACAACUUAGCACCUAGAACAGAGAGGGAAACAUCCUGCGGACGGCAAGGUCACCGAGAAGCUUGUAACGGAGAGACUUGGCCUGAGCAAUAGCGCACAGCCCUCUGUUGUUAACCUUCUCAACGUAAAGCUCAACGCUGUUUUCUGGAAACUUAAACCUCUUCUGUACAACAGAGGUUAGCUCCCUGAUCCUCAUCCCCUUCUCUCCGAGAACGUUUUGGGUUCAGGUGGCUCGGAUGAUGAUCUGGGUUCGCAUCGGCAUAACCCUAACUUCAACGCCGGAGUAGCCGUCUUCGGCGAGCUCUCUCGUCAACACCUCGUUCAGCUCGGCGAAGAAAACGUCAUUGGCGAUGAACAUUCUGCGGACGGCAAGGUCACCGAGAAGCUUGUAACGGAGAGACUCGGCCUGAGCAAUAGCGCACAGCCCUCUGUUGUUAACCUUCUCAACGUAAAGCUCAACGCUGUUUUUUGGAAACUUAAACCUCUUCUGUACAACAGAGGUUAGCUCCCUGAUCUUCAUCCCCUUCUCUCCGAUAACGUUUUGGGUUCAGGUGCCUCAAAUGAUGAUCUCGGUUUGCAUCGGCAUAACCCUAACUUCAACGCCGGAGUAGCCGUCUUAGGCGAGCUCUCUCGUUAGCACCUCGUUCAGCUCGGCGAAGAAAACGCCAUUGGCGAUGAACUUUCGCUUCUUGCUCAUUUGGGUCGCAGUCGCCAUGGUUGUGGGUGUGAAAGUUGCAGAGAUGGGAUCUGAAAUAUGGUGGCAGGAGAGGAUUCAAGGCCACCUGGGUAUCUACAACAUUGUUCAACUUGAUGCCAAACUGAAAGUACAGGGCCUCACUAUCUCGUUUGCAAUCAUGAAUGACUUUGGUGAUAUAGGAAUACUCAAGUGCAGGCUUACAGGCAUUGAUCAGCAUCACCCCUCCCUGAAUGGCAUCAACCAGAUAUAUAGCAUUUGGAAAUACAAGCUGCAUGAUACAGAGAGUUCCAUGACGACAAAGGUUAACUCCCUUGCAAUCAAAACCAAUGACAAAUGGCCUUUCAGCUGAAAGCUGGGCCAGGCGAAAGAGGAAUGUGAGUCUAUAAAGGAGGAGGUACAGAGGUCAUGCGAUCGGACCAUCCACGCCAAUCUUUAAUUUUGCCUCCAAACCAACGAAACCCUGAUUGUCUCUUAUUCUCUCUCUUCUCAUAUGCUGAUUGAAUGAGUGUGAUUGUAACUGACAAAUAAUGGUAGAGAGAGAAAAAGUUUGUGGUGUUUUGUUUGAAAAGGUGAAAGAGAUCAGAAGCAAAAGUGAGGUAGAGAGAAUUUUGGUUGUCUCUUGGGUUUUGCAGAUCCACGGCGAAGGUGAAAAUUGAGAUAGGACCGACAUAGCUUUUCGUGUCACUUCCCACAGACGACGCCAAAUGUUGAUGCACAAAACCGGAGGGUCUUGGAACAAUGUAAAUCCGACCGUGAAUGUGCAAGAAAGUAAAUAACACAAUAUGUAUCGUGGUUCACCCCAAUGUGCGGGCUACAUCCACAUUGAUAUUGUAUUUCUCUGUUUGUAAAAGGAUUGUGAGGGUGAGAGCUUCUGUAAUGUGAGAGUGAGGCCUCUCUUUGGGGAUCUGAGACCCUUUCGUUUGUGAGGGUGAUGAGGCCCCUUUUAUAGACUAAGGGCUUCUCACUUAUUACAUAUUUCCCCCUUCAUUUAUUACAUAAUUACAUUUGAGUCCCCCGAGUAUUUAUACAAGGUCUAAAUACGGAGGCCCUAAGUAUGGUACAAACACUAUUGAUUCAAUUUAAUUUUUUAUUUGUUGAACGUGAUACAACACAUUGGAGAUGCAAUUCCGGCUUUCCGAGAAAGAUGUUCUACAAAUUUAAAGGCUUUUGUUGUUUUAUGUUAAUCAGGUACGUUUAAAAUAAAUGAAGAUAUUUGAAACGACCAUGAAGCAUGGAAACAUUCCCCAUGAUGCAUGAACCCCUUACAAUUAUAUUUACCUUUCGAUAUAUAUAUACGUUUCAUGCAUUAUGCAAUUUUUGUUAUUUGGAAUUUGCGAGUCAGAGAAUUGAAAUAAAUUAGAAGCAAGGGUUUUUCAAACCCUUCAAUGGCGGAUGAGGUGGUGUUGUUGGAUUUCUGACCAAGCCCAUUUGGGAUGAGGCUGAGGAUUGCUCUGGCAGAAAAGGGCAUCGAGUAUGAGUACAAAGAUGAGGACUUGUGGAACAAGAGCCCACUGUUGUUGCAGAUGAACCCGAUUCACAAGAAGAUACCGGUUCUCAUUCACAAUGGAAAACCAGCCUAUGAUUCCCUCAUUGCGCUUCAGUACAUUGAUGAGGUUUGGAACGAUAAGGCUCCACUCUUGCCCUUUGACUCUUACCUUAUAGCCCAGGGCUGACUUUGUCAACAAGAAGGUGAUUUUUACUCAUUAAUUUACUUAUUUUUUGUUGUUGUUUUUUUUUUUUCAACAAACGAUAUUAUCUACACUAAAAAGAAGAUGGUAGGUUUAGCCUCACAAUGAAUUAUUAAUAAUUUGGUUCAAAUUCGCUAUUUGCAAGAAUCGAACCUAAGACCUCUCACUUACAAGUAAAAAAGAAUAUCCCUAUACCGUAGUACAAGAUGACAAUUUCACAACAUAAUUAAGUUUAGUAUUUUUUUUCUAAAAUAUGCUCUUUUAUUUAUUUUUAAAAAAUCUAUGUUCAAUUUGACAUGAUACUUAAUUUUCUAUGUACCAAUUUGGAAAGAAAAAAAAUUUAAAAAAAAGGGGUUUAUAAGUACCAACUAUGUUUUGGGCCGAAAAGGAACUAACCCAAAAAAAGGGCCUUUCGAGAAGUUGGUGGAAGCUGAUGGAACUCUCUGUUUUUAUUGUUUUUUUUCCCUUCUGGAUUGCUGCAGAACUUUCUGUAGUUCUCGGUGAAACCUUCUGUGCCAUCCUAUAUAUAUACAACUCACUCCACAACCCUCCUUAUCAGUUAGAAUUAUCCAAAGCAAUCAAAGCAAAAUCUCUCACUCAAAUCCUUCGAAUUCACACCCAGCAAAAACCCAACUCAAACCCACCAUCUAAUGGCUCUCAGUCUCUUUGGCGGACGACGAAGCAACGUCUUCGACCCCUUCUCUCUGGACAUCUGGGACCCUUUCGAGGGCUUCGGCGCUCUGGCCAACGUCCCCUCCUCCGCCCGUGAAACCACCGCCAUCGCCAACACUCGCAUCGACUGGAAGGAGACCCCGGAGGCCCACAUCUUCAAGGCGGACCUCCCUGGGAUAAAAAAGGAGGAGGUGAAAGUGGAGGUGGAGGAUGGGAGGGUCCUGCAGAUCAGCGGCGAGAGGAGCCGGGAGCAGGAGGAGAAGAACGACAAGUGGCACAGGGUGGAGAGGAGCAGUGGCAAGUUUAUGAGGAGGUUCAGGCUGCCGGAGAACGCGAAACUUGAUCAGGUGAAGGCGGCGAUGGAGAAUGGGGUGCUGACUGUGACUGUGCCGAAAGAGGAGGAGAAGAAGCCUGAGGUCAAGGCCAUAGACAUUUCCGGUUAAACUAAAUUCGCAUAACCUCGAUCCGCUACUUUUGAGCUUUGUUUUGGUGUGGUGUUAAGUUCUGCUUGUGUGUAUUUCCGAGUGUCUCUGUAUGUGAGAUGAGUGAUAUGGUGUGUCAAUUGUCAUGUACGGGUUCUUGUUCUAAAUAUUUAUAAUAAAUCUUCAUAAAAGUUGGAGUACAUUAUAUUUCCAAGAAGUGUCUCCGGGAGAAGGUCUAUUUAAUUUUUUUUCCACGAAUAUGGAGAAGAUGACCGUUCAUGGCGCGAUUCUCUUGCUGUUAAAGUCUAGAACUU
rnacentral:lncRNA from 1 species